UCCCAGUCUGGUAGCAAUACCGGGCUGGGGGAAGUGGCGAAAGGGGCAGUAAGGCGUGGGUAACCUACCUCUGGGACGGGGAUAGCCCUCCUAACGGAGGGGUAAUACCCGGCGAGUUGAGCGGGGGGCAUCUCCUGCUCAGGAAAUGAAUUUCGCCUGGAGAGGGGCUCACGUGCUAUUAGCUUGUUGGCGGGGUAACGGCCCACCAAGGCAAAGAUGGCUAGCGGGUGUGAGAGCACGACCCGCGCCACUGGCACUGAGACACUGGCCAGACUCCUACGGGAGGCUGCAGUCGAGGAUCUUCGGCAAUGGGCGCAAGCCUGACCGAGCGACGCCGCGUGCGCGAUGAAGGCCUUCGGGUUGUAAAGCGCUGUCGAGGGGGAAGAAAACCCGCAAGGGUCUGACCUAUCCCUGGAGGAAGCACGGGCUAAGUUCGUGCCAGCAGCCGCGGUAAGACGAACCGUGCAAACGUUGUUCGGAAUCACUGGGCUUAAAGGGCGCGUAGGCGGGUUCCCAAGUCGGUGGUGAAAUCUUUCGGCCCAACCGGAAAAGUGCCGCCGAUACUGGGAGUCUCGAGGGAGGUAGGGGUCGAGGGAACUCUAGGUGGAGCGGUGAAAUGCGUAGAUAUCUGGAGGAACGCCGGUGGCGAAAGCGCUCGACUGGACCUCUUCUGACGCUGAGGCGCGAAAGCCAGGGGAGCAAACGGGAUUAGAUACCCCGGUAGUCCUGGCCCUAAACGAUGGGUACCAGAUUGUGGACUGGACAUGGGUUCACAGUCGAGGCAAAGUGUUAAGUACCCCGCCCGGGGAGUAU
rnacentral:rRNA from 1 species